CAUUUGUUGGAAAAAUAGAAAACGAGAAGUAUGGUUUGUUCAGAUAUCUCUCUCGCGGCGACAGAGACCAAACACUUGUUCAUCCGAUUUCCGUCUGAUUUCCGGCAAAAUCGAUCUCUGCUCGAUGGCGUAACCGUUAUCAGCUUUGUAUUUGGUCGAAUCCGUUUAUUUUCCGUUCAUAUCUCCGGCGAACCUUGACAAAAUCGAAAUCCUCACCGAUCUGUUCUCUCAUCCUCUCCUUGGUCUUUAUCUUCUUCGGAAAGGAACCUAGAAGUUGUCUCUGGCCCCUUUGAAGAAUGAUCUUGUCUGUUCAAGAAAUGGUAGGGUUCUAACGAUAGGUGGAGGGGGAGGAGGAAACAUGGGAGGGCUAACAACGGAUGAUGCCCUGAGCUAUCUCAAAGCUGUCAAGGAUAUGUUUCAAGACAAGAAAGCUGUCAAGGAGGCAUUAAGUUUGAUAAGGUCAUACUUGAUUACCCACAUGAGUAUCUGACUUCAGUCAAGGGAACCUAUAGUGCAUUUGAUGUCUGCAGGUGCUGAGAUCAAAAAACAUAAGUUGGUGACAGAUACUGAGAAGUUGCAGCCAAAAGCUGGAGGUGGUGUAAAAAUACAUGGACCAUGGGGUGGUAUCGGUGGUAUCAUGUUUGACGACGGGAUAUAUACCGGUGUUAGACAGAUCAAUUUGUCACGCAGUGUUGGGCUUGUGUGGAUGAAGGUGUGCUAUGAUUUUAAAGGACAAGCUGUGUGGGGAAGCAAGCAUGGUGGCAGGGGAGGAUUCAAACAUGAUAACGACACUUUCCUUGCAAAGCCCAGAGAGUUAACACGAGUGAUGUCAUUGCAAGCGUAAAAGAGUUGUUCAAGGGCUAUGACGACUUGCUUUUGGGGUAGGGUUAUGAUUUCUUCAGCGCUGCGCCAUUGACUUCCUUGAUAGUGAUAUGAAGUAAAAAGCUCUAAGAGCGCCUUGGCGAAGUUUUCCUCCAAUUUUGAUCUACUGACUCCAUAAAAGACAGUGACCACGACAUGGCCUUUGUCAUGUCUCCGUUGGCUAGUCUUUAAGAAAUCAUCCAAAGAUUCCUUGGAGGACACGUAAUUCUUAGAAAAAAUCAAAACAGAAGCAAUGCACUCGAAAAAUUCAUCAUGAUUAUCUGUGAGCACAGAAAUGCCUUUACGACCAAAAGCAGCGGAUAGAUGGGGAACGAGGGAGCAUCGUGUUGUCUCAUCCGACCUGUCGAAGCUGAUUUUGACCUUGUCGCAAGCUGCCAUAACUUGAAAAUAUCUUAAGAUUGGUGGUUUCUUGGGAAUGCUCUGUUUCUGAGAACAGGGGAAGGUGAAGAUCAGAGUUAUAACAAACCUCGCAACUUGGUGAUGUAAAUCAGAGUUUGAACAAGUCUUAGCAGACACUUGUAAGUUUAAUAUUAGCAACUAAGAUGAACAAUGCUUUUUCCAAGAAGUUUAUUUGCAGCUUCAUACGUAACUACAACUGCUAAAGACGUUUACUUCUGGGAUUACGCAAGCUUUUUAUUUUUA